rnacentral:rRNA from 2 species
AGAGUUUGAUCAUGGCUCAGAUUGAACGCUGGCGGCAGGCCUAACACAUGCAAGUCGAGCGGUAGCACAGAGAGCUUGCUCUCGGGUGACGAGCGGCGGACGGGUGAGUAAUGUCUGGGAAACUGCCUGAUGGAGGGGGAUAACUACUGGAAACGGUAGCUAAUACCGCAUAAUGUCGCAAGACCAAAGUGGGGGACCUUCGGGCCUCAUGCCAUCAGAUGUGCCCAGAUGGGAUUAGCUUGUAGGUGGGGUAACGGCUCACCUAGGCGACGAUCCCUAGCUGGUCUGAGAGGAUGACCAGCCACACUGGAACUGAGACACGGUCCAGACUCCUACGGGAGGCAGCAGUGGGGAAUAUUGCACAAUGGGCGCAAGCCUGAUGCAGCCAUGCCGCGUGUGUGAAGAAGGCCUUCGGGUUGUAAAGCACUUUCAGCGGGGAGGAAGGCGAUAAGGUUAAUAACCUUGUCGAUUGACGUUACCCGCAGAAGAAGCACCGGCUAACUCCGUGCCAGCAGCCGCGGUAAUACGGAGGGUGCAAGCGUUAAUCGGAAUUACUGGGCGUAAAGCGCACGCAGGCGGUCUGUCAAGUCGGAUGUGAAAUCCCCGGGCUCAACCUGGGAACUGCAUUCGAAACUGGCAGGCUAGAGUCUUGUAGAGGGGGGUAGAAUUCCAGGUGUAGCGGUGAAAUGCGUAGAGAUCUGGAGGAAUACCGGUGGCGAAGGCGGCCCCCUGGACAAAGACUGACGCUCAGGUGCGAAAGCGUGGGGAGCAAACAGGAUUAGAUACCCUGGUAGUCCACGCCGUAAACGAUGUCGAUUUGGAGGUUGUGCCCUUGAGGCGUGGCUUCCGGAGCUAACGCGUUAAAUCGACCGCCUGGGGAGUACGGCCGCAAGGUUAAAACUCAAAUGAAUUGACGGGGGCCCGCACAAGCGGUGGAGCAUGUGGUUUAAUUCGAUGCAACGCGAAGAACCUUACCUGGUCUUGACAUCCACAGAACUUAGCAGAGAUGCUUUGGUGCCUUCGGGAACUGUGAGACAGGUGCUGCAUGGCUGUCGUCAGCUCGUGUUGUGAAAUGUUGGGUUAAGUCCCGCAACGAGCGCAACCCUUAUCCUUUGUUGCCAGCGGUCCGGCCGGGAACUCAAAGGAGACUGCCAGUGAUAAACUGGAGGAAGGUGGGGAUGACGUCAAGUCAUCAUGGCCCUUACGACCAGGGCUACACACGUGCUACAAUGGCAUAUACAAAGAGAAGCGACCUCGCGAGAGCAAGCGGACCUCAUAAAGUAUGUCGUAGUCCGGAUUGGAGUCUGCAACUCGACUCCAUGAAGUCGGAAUCGCUAGUAAUCGUAGAUCAGAAUGCUACGGUGAAUACGUUCCCGGGCCUUGUACACACCGCCCGUCACACCAUGGGAGUGGGUUGCAAAAGAAGUAGGUAGCUUAACCUUCGGGAGGGCGCUUACCACUUUGUGAUUCAUGACUGGGGUGAAGUCGUAACAAGGUAACCGUAGGGGAACCUGCGGUUGGAUCACCU